rnacentral:rRNA from 1 species
CAAUAGCGUAUAUUAAAGUUGUUGCGGUAAAAAGCUCGUAGUUGGAUUUCUGUUGAGGAUGGCCGGUCCAUACAACGUAUGCGUAUCUGGUAUCAUCCUCGGCAUCCUCUCGAAAUACGUUAUUUGCCAUCCGGCAAGUACGGAGUUCGGGACUUUUACUUUGAGGAAAUUAGAGUGUUCACGGCAGGCAAGCGCCCGAAUACGUUAGCAUGGAAUAAUAAUAUAGGAUCUCUGUUCUAUUUUGUUGGUUUCUAGGAUUGAGAUAAUGAUUAAUAGGGACAAUUGGGGGCAUUCGUAUCAACACGUCAGAGGUGGAAUUCUUGGAUUGUGUUGCGACGAACAACUGCGAAAGCAUUUGCCAAGGAUGUUUUCAUUGAUCAAGAACGAAAGUAAGGGGAUCGAAGAUGAUUAGAUAUCAU